rnacentral:rRNA from 1 species
GCCGGCAGCUAACUCUCUGCAACUCUCACAUGGUCGCCCACUGAAACUAAGCAGGGCUGCGCCUGGUCAGUACCUGGAUGGGAGACCACAUGGGAAAGCUAGGUUGCUGUUGGAA